UUAUACUAGUAAUUGGUUAAAUAAUUUUCUAUUUAGUACAAGAAAAGAGAGAAUAAAAAUAUGGCUAAACUUCUCAAGUUUGUUUAUGCUAUGAAUAUGAUAUUCUCUAUUUCUCUCUUUCUUGUUACGGUGAACGUCCAUGCACUUCCGGAAUGUAUUGACCACGACCACUGUGAAAGAAGUAUGUGUAAGUUUCCUUUUAUUGCGAGAUGCAUUAUGAAUGAAUGCAAAUGUACUCUAUUACACUACCUAAUAUAAUCUAGGAGGAGCAUAGCUAAGGGAAAGUCAUCCGUUCAAAUCUGAUAGGAGGCUUUUUUUUUUUUUUUUGUCAUAA